CAAAGUUAUACAUGUUAUAUGGUAAUAUAGCAUAUAAUGAUUCAUCAUAUAGACAGCAUUCAAAUACGUAAAUAUGAUUUAUAUUCAUGUAACACACAUAUACACACAUGUCACUUUUUGUUCAUGGAACAAAAAUAUACACUUAAUUUUGUUGUGUAAGACUCAUGGUUUUGAUUUAGGUUAAAUACGUUUAACUAUUCGACAGCAAUGUGUGUAUGUUUUAAGUGUAAUCACAGAAUGUGCAGGUCUAGAUUGGCACAGACAAAAUAUCUAUUAUUAACCAUUAUUAAUUAUCUACACUUUUAUUGGACUUAAUAUGAUGAAAACUGCCUAUGCAAUAUAAGGUGUCAACUCGGCCAAUACAGAAUAGCUCGGCUAAUAUAUAUAUUUUCUGUAUUGGCCGAGUUCUGAUCCGGCCGAUACAGAAUUUCAGAACGUCUCUGGUGUUUUUGAUUGAAAGUCACGAUAAACACACACUGAAAGUAAACAGUUGUUUGGAAGACGCAGUUCUCAUUAACUCACCGUAAACGCUCAGUAUAGCAUAUAUUUCAGGCUAAAGACGGUCAUAGUCAUUCAAAAAGCAUUUUGAAAGCAGACAAUGGAAUUAUUUCAGGUUUGGGGAACGAGUUCUCAGUAGAUUAUCACUAAGUUUAUUUCUUGGCGACCUCAUAAUUUCACGAUGGUACAAAUCGAUUUACUGUUAAAUUUUGCUUUUCAUGUUUUGUGAACUGUCAUUUAUUUUUAAACUAGAACCAGGCAUAUGCAUUCUGUAAUUGUGCAAAUGUUCGUUCUUUUGUCAUUAUGACUUUUUUGGCUUAUGUAUAGUUGUAUCAUCACUCCUUCAUAAUUAUUUUGUAAACACAAUGUAUCUUCAGUUUGUUUCUGCACAACACAUGCACUGAUACUACCUUUCCAAUUACUAAGUAUGGGUUGCGUCUUAAUUUAAGUUGUUACACUUUAUAGUGACUGGGAAGUGUGACAAAUUCAACAGAUGAUAAAAUGCUAAAGACACCUGGAAACGGUACCGGAUCAUUAGAUAUUACAUUUUAUUAAAAGAUAUAAGAUUUGGCUAGUUCUACUCCACGGUAAACAUGUUUAUCUCUUGUAAAAUUAAACAAAAUAUUGCAACACUGUAGUUAAUUAAUAAAGAUACUAUUACGUGUAUUUCUGUAGUGGCCUUGUUAUUGGUCCUCGGCAAGCUGUAUUGGCCUUCGACUUCGCCUCGGACCAAUAACAAGGCCAAUACAGAUAUACUUCCGUACUAAUAUCAUAAUAUUGUUGGUUCAGUCAAACAUGUAAACAUUCAAUAUCAUUAUAUAUUUGGAUACUAAUUCUAAUACUGUUUGAUAUAUAUUUAUCAUCCUGAAAUAAAACAUAUGG
rnacentral:lncRNA from 1 species